rnacentral:rRNA from 1 species
CUACGGGAGGCUCCAGUGGGGAAUAUUGGACAAUGGGGGAAACCCUGAUCCAGCAAUGCCGCGUGUGUGAAGAAGGCCUGCGGGUUGUAAAGCACUUUCGGUUGGGAGGACUGCUUCUAGCACUAAUAUUGUUGGAAGUUGACGUUACCUUCAGAAGAAGCACCGGCUAUCUCCGUGCCAGCAGCCGCGGUAAUACGGAGGGUGCAAGCGUUGAAUCGGAAUUACUGGGCGUAAAGCGCGCGUAGGCGGCUAGAUCAGUCGGGUGUGAAAGCCCCGGGCUUAACCUGGGAACUGCAUCCGAUACUGGCUAGCUUGAGUACAGGAGAGGAGAGUGGAAUUCCACAUGUAGCGGUGAAAUGCGUAGAUAUGUGGAGGAACACCAAUGGCGAAGGCAGCUCUCUGGCCUGAUACUGACGCUGAGGUGCGAAAGCGUGGGGAGCAAACAGGAUUAGAUACCCCAGUAGUC